rnacentral:rRNA from 1 species
AUGAAUACAUUAUGCUAGAACUACAGCGGGCUGGGCGACCUUGCGGCGGUUUGAGAACCCCGCGAUCUCGUGUAGGAGUGUGCGCCGACGAUGCUUUGUGUAGUGGAGACAAAAAUUGCGAAGUAUUGGAUGGGAGGUGUGGUGGGAACUUUGGGUUUUAAUAGUGCAUAUGGAGUAGGCAGUUCGUGGAGAAGUGGUGGUUUGUGUGUUUAUUGGAAGAACUCGGUUGCUCUGUCGCUUAGAAAACUUUCUCAGUAUCAUAUUGAUAUGGAGGUGAAAGAAGGGGACAAGGAUCCAUGGUGGAUGACGUGUUGCUAUGAUGAAGCUGACAAAAACCUGAGAUACAAGACUUGA